rnacentral:rRNA from 1 species
CUUUAGGUGAAGAAGCCUAAAUUUAUUCAUAGGACGAAAAGACCCUGUCGAGCUUUAAAUUUUUAUUUUAAUUUUUUUCUUUUGUAGAAGAAUUGUUUUUAUUUAUUUUGUUUGUUGGGGUGACAGAAGAACAUUCAAAGCUUCUUCUAAUUGAAUUAAACUUUUUAGUUUGUUGAUCUUCUAAUGGNAAAAAAAAGAAUAGUUACCGCAGGGAUAACAGCGUAAUUUUUUUGGAAAGUUCAAAUUAAAAAAAAAGUUUGCGACCUCGAUGUUGGAUUAGAAUUCCUAAUAAGUGCAGAAGCUUAUUUGUGGAGGUCUGUUCGCCCUUUA